UUGGACAAGUGUAUUUGUGUAUGUGGGCACACCCUCCUUCCUCAAGGAUCACUGUCUGAACCCUCACUUUAAUCACAAGGAAAUGAUCAAGCUAGUCAGGAUCACGGUCUGUUGCCUCAGUGUGAAAAGGGCAACCCCUUCUUCUGGAAUGUGGAAAUUGAAGUUAGCCCCAUUGCUAAUUGAAUCAAACUGACCACAAGAGAGGAAUUGUCUGCUUAUGAAAAAAGUCUUGCUCUUCUAGCCACGUGGAGGGAGAAAGGGACUCUGCUUCUGCUAUCACAGACAUAUUUCAUUCCACUGGGGAAUAAGAAAAGUAUUCUCGGCAAAACCUAAUGUCCUGAGAGUCACUUUGAAAUGAGUUUGGGGGAUGGCUGGUAUAUGCUGUGCUCAGAAGGAAAACCCAAGCUGAUUUGACUAGAGGCUUUGCCUCACACCUGGGAAACUCAUUAAACACUGAUCAGAAGAAGUCCAAAGUGGUGACUCACCAGAAGCUCCCAUUUUGAUUUGGGGUCUCAUCCAUGAUUUGGGGUCCACUGGAACACAGAUUCUUGAGAAUGAGAGAUGCAUCCCACAGCCUGUUGUGGUGGCCCUAAAUUGAGAAGUCUGCACCCGUGAACUUCAAACCCAUGGAGGGUUCUUGACAACGUGGGAAAUCAUGUGAUGACACGGAAACUCUGUUAAUGGACCAAGGUAUAAAGAAAAUCUUCCCAACAAGCAAUUUGGUAAAUUAUACCUUUGUAAGCAGAACUGAAACAUUUCUCUCUUCUCUCCCUGAUUUCUUCAGAGAAUAGAAACUCAGGUUUUCAGAAACUUUAUCAGAUAAUUAGGAAGGCCACCUUGUAUGUAGCCUGUAAAAAACUCAAGGAUCUGGGUUUUUAAAAGGGAAGGAAUUCACCAAGAUUUUUAAGAUAAAAAUCUUUAAGACAAACCAUUCACAUGACUUUCCUAGCCCUGAGGUGCCUUUUAAAAGCUUAGUCUAAGAUUCCUCAUAAAGUUCCAAGAAAGCCAAUUAAAAAAUAAAUCUAUAUGAUCAAUUUUAUUCAUGUAAGUCAUCAGGCCAAGGUUGCUGACACCAGACUUAAUUGGCAAAUAAAUUAGUCUUGGUUUGGCUAAUAUUUGAUAAAAAUGAAAGUAAUUUUAGAGAGAAAGAGAUGUUUCAAUGAAAACUUGCUAAAUCUGUUAAUCUCGUUCUUUUACUUAUGGUCAGUAUCACUAAGACUUACUCCCUAGUAGUUCUUUGCUAUUAUGUUAUAUUGAUGCAAGUUUAACCGAGCUUCUAAAAGAACAUUCUAAGCUUAUUUCUAAAGUUUAUCUCAGCAAUCUAUUUUUGGAUAAAAAUCAGAUGCCCCAAGACCUGCAACAAGGGGACCAUGUGUACUAAAAAGGACAUAAUAUAAAAGGACUAUUUCCAAGCUUCUAGAGGAAGACCCUGAUACCUAACUAUGGAGCCAGGAGGAGGUACAACAAUUUAGGGAUUUAAGAGAGGCACUGACAGGUGCCCCUCUUCUGGCUCUACCAUCCUUUUGAAAAACCUUUUCAUUUAUUUGUAAGCAUGGGCUCUGGGAUGGCUCUAGGGGGUCCUCACAUAGAAACAUGGAGAAAGCCACCAGCUGGUGGCCUUCCUUUUCUGCCUCCUGGACUCUGUCACCAGAGGAUGGCUGAAUACAUACAGUUGGUAGCUGCCACUGCCCUAUUAACUUAAGGAAACAGAAAACUCACCUUUGGAGGAAGGCUGACUGCAAGUAUAAAAAUAGGAUAUGAGGACACAAAUGCCUGUUUGAAAUGGAUAAAAUAUUCUGUGGACACACUAUACAAAGGCAGCUAUUAUACUUGUGCCACAGGGAGACCAGAGGCGCAAGUGGUUCCUUUCCUCUGGGAUGGUUGUCAGACCCAUAGGGUCUCGACCGUGUGAUGGCCCUCUUCCACGACAAAAUGGCUUGAAAUAAUGAGUCCAGUUAGACUCUGUCACUGCUAUUCCCUGAGGUCAAAAGUUCUGUGGGUCAGCCCCCAAGAACUGUUCAGCAGCCAAAUGAAAAUGUCAACUUCUCCUCAAGUCUAAAAUGACAAGAAGCAAAGGCGACUUUCUUAGGCAACUUGACCAGGUGCAGUGAAAGCCGGUCCUACAUCACCCCCACAAUAAAUCCCUGUUCCAAGUGUCCUGAGAAGAUGUCUGGUGGCAUUGUGGGAGUCCACUAAUGGGCAUCCCUCCAGAAAAUCAAAGUGACACCUAUACUUUGUUGCAAUUGGCCAUCCAUUUCACCCUGGUAUUUAGGCCCCAAUAUCAAACACAGCCAAUCCUGAGAAAAUAAGACAUUACUGGGGAUGGUGGUCCUUUGACCCCCAGGUCUGUAUUGACUCAACAGGUGUUCCAAACAAUUUUUUUUUUGUCUUUUUGCCAUUUCUUGGGC